AUGUAAGGAUUCAAAGGUCGAACAGACCUAAACUUUGAACUUUUACACCCAAAAAUAACCCUUAAUCCAACAUCGAGGUCGCAAUCUUUUUUGUCGAUAAGAACUCUCAAAAAAAAUUACGCUGUUAUCCCUAAGGUAACUUAGUCUUAUAAUCAGUAAAACUGGAUCAAUAAUUCAAUAAUUUUUGUUUAAAAAUAAAAAGAGUUUAAUAAAUCUUCUUGUCACCCCAACAAAAUAUUUAAUUUAAUAAAAUUUAAAAAUUACUAUAAAUAAAUUAUUAUAUAAAUAUAAAGUUCUAUAGGGUCUUCUCGUCCUUUAAUGAUAUUUAAGCCUUUUAACUCAAAAGUUAAAUUAUAAUUUCAUUUAAAUUGAGACAGUUAAUACUUCGUUCAAUCAUUCAUUCUAGCCCUCAAUUAAAAGACUAAUUAUUAUGCUACCUUUGCACGGUCAAAAUACCGCGGCCCUUUAAAAUAUCAGGGGGCAGAUUAGACUUUAAAUUAUUUUCUAAAAG
rnacentral:rRNA from 1 species